rnacentral:rRNA from 1 species
AUUGAACGCUGGCGGCAGGCCUAACACAUGCAAGUCGAGCGGAUGAGAGGAGCUUGCUUCUCGAUUCAGCGGCGGACGGGUGAGUAAUGCCUAGGAAUCUGCCUGGUAGUGGGGGACAACGUUUCGAAAGGAACGCUAAUACCGCAUACGUCCUACGGGAGAAAGCAGGGGACCUUCGGGCCUUGCGCUAUCAGCUGAGCCUAGGUCGGAUUAGCUAGUUGGUGAGGUAAUGGCGCACCAAGAAGACGAUCCGUAACUGGUCUGAGAGGAGGAUCAGUCACACCGGAACUGAGACACGGUCCAGACUCCUACGGGAGGCAGCAGUGGGGAAUAUUGGACAAUGGGCGAAAGCCUGAUCCAGCCAUGCCGCGUGUGUGAAGAAGGUCUUCGGAUUGUAAAGCACUUUAAGUUGGGAGGAAGGGUUGUAGAUUAAUACUCUGCAAUUUUGACGUUACCGACAGAAUAAGCACCGGCUAACUCUGUGCCAGCAGCCGCGGUAAUAC